AUUGAACGCUGGCGGCAGGCCUAACACAUGCAAGUCGAGCGAGCGGCGGACGGGUGAGUAAUGUCUUGGAAACUGCCUGGUGGAGGGGGAUAACUACUGGAAACGGUAGCUAAUACCGCAUACCAUCAGAUGUGCCCAGAUGGGAUUAGCUAGUUGGUGGGGUACUGGCUCACCUAGGCGACGAUCCCUAGCUGGUCUGAGAGGAUGACCAGCCACACUGGAACUGAGACACGGUCCAGACUCCUACGGGAGGCAGCAGUGGGGAAUAUUGGACAAUGGGCGCAAGCCUGAUGCAGCCAUGCCGCGUGUAUGAAGAAGGCCUUCGGGUUGUAAAGUACUUUAAGUUGGGAGGCGUUACCAACAGAAUAAGCACCGGCUAACUUCGUGCCAGCAGCCGCGGUAAUUC
rnacentral:rRNA from 1 species